CACGGGAAAACGCCGUGACCGAACAGCAGUUCUACGCUUCUCCUCCUUGUCUAUAGUGCUAGAAAAUUCAGCAAAUCGGGCUCAGCGGAUAUACUUCCGAAGAUAAAACUGUUGAGUGGACGUCUAUACGGAAGAGAUUCUGCAAACGCAGCUUAUGCAUCCAGUUUCCCGCGUUCGAUAAUGAUGGCGACUGUGGCAAAACAUGUUUUGAGAAGGUUAUUGAGCAAUAAAUUAAAUAUUACAGAUA